rnacentral:rRNA from 1 species
AGUUUGAUCCUGGCUCAGGACGAACGCUGGCGGCGUGCUUAACACAUGCAAGUCGAGCGAUGAAGCUCCUUCGGGAGUGGAUUAGCGGCGGACGGGUGAGUAACACGUGGGUAACCUGCCUCAAAGAGGGGGAUAGCCUCCCGAAAGGGAGAUUAAUACCGCAUAACAAGUAUGAUUCACAUGGAUGGUACUUUAAAGGAGUAAUCCGCUUUGAGAUGGACCCGCGGCGCAUUAGCUAGUUGGUAGGGCAACGGCCUACCAAGGCAACGAUGCGUAGCCGACCUGAGAGGGUGAUCGGCCACAUUGGAACUGAGAGACGGUCCAGACUCCUACGGGAGGCAGCAGUGGGGAAUAUUGCACAAUGGGCGAAAGCCUGAUGCAGCAACGCCGCGUGAGUGAAGAAGGUUUUCGGAUUGUAAAGCUCUGUCAUCUGGGACGAUAAUGACGGUACCAGAUGAGGAAGCCACGGCUAACUACGUGCCAGCAGCCGCGGUAAUACGUAGGUGGCAAGCGUUGUCCGGAAUUACUGGGCGUAAAGGGUGCGCAGGCGGACAUUUAAGUGAGAUGUGAAAUACCCGGGCUUAACCCGGGCAGUGCAUUUCAAACUGGGUGUCUGGAGUGCAGGAGAGGAGAACGGAAUUCCUAGUGUAGCGGUGAAAUGCGUAGAGAUUAGGAAGAACACCAGUGGCGAAGGCGGUUCUCUGGACUGUAACUGACGCUGAGGCACGAAAGCGUGGGUAGCAAACAGGAUUAGAUACCCUGGGUAGUC